rnacentral:rRNA from 1 species
UACGUAGGGUGCAAGCGUUAAUCGGAAUUACUGGGCGUAAAGCGUGCGCAGGCGGUUUUGUAAGUCAGAUGUGAAAUCCCCCGGGGCUUAACCUGGGAACUGCGUUUGAAACUACAAGGCUAGAGUGUGACAGAGGGGGGUGGAAUUCCACGUGUAGCAGUGAAAUGCGUAGAGAUGUGGAGGAACACCGAUGGCGAAGGCAGCCCCCUGGGUUAACACUGACGCUCAGGCACGAAAGCGUGGGGGAGAAACAGG